AGUGAACGCUGGCGGUAGGCCUAAUACAUGCAAGUCGAACGGCCGCACAGUAAGAGCUCGCUCUUACGGGUGGCGAGUGGCGGACGGGUGAGGAAUACAUAGGCAUCUUCUUUUUCGUGGGGGACAACGUAGGGAAACUUCCGCUAAUACAUCAUACGACCUACGGGUGAAAGCAGGGGAUCUUCGGACCUUGCGCGAUUCAAUGAGCCGAUGUCGGAUUAGCUAGUUGGCGGGGUAAAGGCCCACCAAGGCGACGAUCCGUAGCUGGUCUGAGAGGAUGAUCAGCCACACUGGAACUGAGACACGGUCCAGACUCCUACGGGAGGCAGCAGUAGGGAAUAUUGGACAAUGGGCGCAAGCCUGAUCCAGCCAUGCCGCGUGAGUGAAGAAGGCCUUCGGGUUGUAAAGCCCUUUUGUUGGGAAGGAAAAGCAGCAGGUUAAUACCCCGCUGUUCUGACGGUACCCAAAGAAUAAGCACCGGCUAACUUCGUG
rnacentral:rRNA from 1 species